rnacentral:rRNA from 1 species
GUGAAAUCCUGUCUGAAGAUGGGGGGGACCAUCCUCCAAGGCUAAAUACUCGUAAUCGACCGAUAGCGAACAAGUACCGUGAGGGAAAGGCGAAAAGAACCCCGGGAGGGGAGUGAAAUAGAUCCUGAAACCGCAUGCAUACAAAAAGUCGGAGCCUCGAAAGGGGUGACGGCGUACCUUUUGUAUAAUGGGUCAGCGACUUACAUUCAGUGGCGAGGUUAACCGAAUAGGGUAGCCGAAGAGAAAUCGAGUCCGAAUAGGGCGUCUAGUCGCUGGGUGUAGACCCGAAACCAGGUGAUCUAUCCAUGGCCAGGAUGAAGGUGCGGUAACACGCACUGGAGGUCCGAACCGACUAGUGUUGCAAAACUAGCGGAUGAGCUGUGGAUAGGGGUGAAAGGCUAAACAAACCUGGAGAUAGCUGGUUCUCUCCGAAACUAUUUAGUAGUGCCUCAAGUAUUACCGUCGGGGGUAGAGGCAC